GAAGAAUGAGAAAAACGAAGAUUUUACAAUCUCUUGCACACCAUGAAACUGCUACCCAAAAAAUAUUACAACCCCAGAAACUGAAUUACAGGACAAAGGAUAAUCUUUAUUCGUUGUAAAACUACAUGGCUACAUACAUUAAGUGUACAUCCACCCAAUAUUCUACAACAACAUAUAACCAUCUGAAGGGUCCUAAGUGUAAGGAUCAUCCCAAAAAGGAAAGGAAUGUAAACACAAUCCAGUUCUCUCAAAAAGAAAAUCAAAAUCACUAGAUAAUAUUCACCCUGCAUCCAAAAUUCUCAAUCCACAAAAAGUCUCAUCGUUUGUUUCACGCCUGCAAGAAAUGAUGGUACAAGUCCAAUUACGACGUUGGGAAAAAAGGACAAUAUUCCAUUAAAAACUCAAACUUACUAAAUAGAGCAAUUCAUUAUCUUUUACCAUUUUCUUAAUCACCAGAGAAUUUUAAACAGAAAUGGAGCAAUGACAAUUGCAUGGAGAAUUGGAAAAUGCAUAUAUUAUAAAACCAGAAAUUCAUUGCAGUUGCCUAACCAUUAACACCGUACAGCAUGAUCAUUACACAAAAUUCUUGACUUGCGGACAUGAAAAUUGGCAGUUCCAAUAGAUUGGUAGCUUAUUAUUACAUACUCAAUGCACAUAAUUUUUGUUGAACAGAAAGUUAUUCAUCUUUACCUUGUUAGCAAUAUUAUUGGAGAGCCAGUCCAAGCCCUCAUAAAGACCCUCACCAGAGG
rnacentral:lncRNA from 1 species